AUCACAAUUUCGAGAGCAUCUAGCCUCGAUCACAAGUAACAGGUAUCACAUUCAUGGAAGGUAAAAAAACUUCUUGUUGUGAUUGUGAGAAGAGGGGUCCCGACCAUAAUGAUUCACGUGAAUUUCAAAAGGCAGUAGUUUUGAAAUCUAUUUUAAUGUCCCGUAAACUUCCAAAAACUUCUCCCCCAUAAAAUCAAUUAAUCUAAUCAAUUUUGGACAAGAAUUCCCUUCAAUCAUUUUUUUUAACUUAAGGAAUUAUGUUAUGACCACUUCUUCUGACCGACCUACGGAAGCUGCUUGUUAAGGUUUAGGUGCCUCUAUUUUCUAACCUCAUUCAAUGAAAGGGAUUGGACAACAUAUCUCGAAUGAGUUUUUUCCCAACACUAGCAGAUCUGAAGUGGGAAACCAUCAACAUGUAAGAUUUGGUUCACAUCCUCAUAUGAGUCAUGGUACUCUAGCCAUGAAUCAUCCUUUUCAAUAAAUGGCUGAAUUCUUCCACCACAUGGUUUAAUCGAUGCAUGAUCCCAAUGGGAUUUACUUUUAGAAAAUAAGGAAAAUGGGUGGAGUGGAGUUUGAAGUCACUAUUGAUCCCAUUGCUGCUGAAAAAUGGCCAGAUCGCAUGGGGAGGGUGUUUGAGCAGUUGGAGUGUUCAAAUGUUGCGAAACAUAAGUAUGCUAUUUCACUAUUACAAUAGGAUGCUUAGAUUAGUGGGUACGUGUUCCAAAUGCCAAGGUAAAACCUCCUAUUUUUAAUUGGUUGAUUUUCUUAAGGUAUAUCGUGUGAAGUAUGUACCACAUGCUUAUUUUAAUGCAAAGAAAAAGGAGUUUUUGAAUCUAAGGCAGUGAGGCAUAUCUAUUGCUAAAUAUGAACAAAAGUUUCUACAUCUCUCUCGCUGCUGGAGGUAUUAUUAAAAAGGAAAAAGACUAGUGUAGGAAAUUUGAACAUGGUUUAAAUGAUUUCAUUAGGAAGAAUGUGGAAAUCCGGCAACAUGAGAACUUUUGUAAGUUAGUGUCUACUACUUUUACUUGGGAACGACUUGAUAAAGAACAAGCUAGUAGAAAUGAAAACAAAUUUCGAAAUCCUUGACAAAAUUUUGGAGGUCCAUCAAAAAGGGAAAUAUUUGAUAGUUCUAAGGCUAGUAGUGAUAACAUGCCAGCACAACAAAAGCAAAACAAAUCAGAUUUUUCUAGAGCUAACACUCCAAAUUAUGGUCAAGGCAAGCCUCGCAUUCCCACUUGUCCGCAAUAUGGAAAGAAUCAUUAUGGUUCUCCUAGGAUAGCCUCUAUUGCAUGUUUUAAUUGUCAGAGCUUUGAUCAUAAAGUGAAGGACUGGCGUAAUCCUAAUAAUGCUCCUUCCUUGAAAACUAAAGGUUCAGUUCAUAAGCCUCCUGUUAAUCCUCCUCAAACUAAUAAAGGUGCAAGGCCUAGAUAAAACAAAGUAGCAGGUGCAAGUGGAGAUAAUCAAGCUAGUGGACAAAGAGGUACUGCACGCGUUUAUGCUUUGAGGAAGACGGAUGAUUAAGAUAGACAAGACGUGGUUGUCGGAGAAAGAACUUUAUGCUAAACUUUAUAAGUGGGAAUUUUGCCUUGAUGAAGUGUCAUUUCGGGGAUAUGUUGUAUCAAGUGAAGGCGUGAAGGUGGAUCCUAGCAGUUGUUUAUUUGAGACCUCCAAAAAGUCCGACUGAGGUAAGAAGUUUGUUGGGCUUAGCAACAUACUAUAGAAGAUUCGUGAAAUGCUUCUCCAUUAUUGCCUCCUCUUUUUCUGGACUCUUGUAUAAGGAACUAAAGUUUAUUUGUGAUGAAAAAUGUCAAAAGAGCUUUAGAACUCUCAAA